UUGAUGCAAUGCAUCUUAUAAAGGGAUACAUUGCUGCCACUGUUGGUGGUGGAGGGCUUGAAUGUUUAAGAUGGUGAUAUGUGGCGCUGAUCAUGCAGGCAGUUGGCAUUUCCCAUUCUAGUUUUAUGGUUGCUUACCCUGUUUACGAUUCAUAAGUUCCUGACCUCUAGAUUUGAUUUGCUGCUGUUUUAAUUUGAAUUAAUUAGCAAGGUGUGACAGUGAAAUAUUUACAUUGAUUGUACUUCACAUGCUUGUCUACACAAUCCACUUUCAGCUGAUAGGAUCACAGCUCUGCCCAAAAUUGAAGCCCAGGCUAUUUUCGUGAGGCUGAGGCCUUCAACUUAAAAACCUUUAAAUCUGAAUAUAAACAUGUUACUGUGAAAUAUGUAAUAUUUACAUUUUUUUUUUUUAGAAUCCUAUUUUGGAAAAAUUUCAGUUAGAGGAAAAUUGGUGAGCAAUUGUUUUUCAGAAAACAUGAUUAUUUGUGGGGAAAAAAUAUAACUGCACUGCGUGGUGGCAUUACCAACUUGCCAAAUAGAGACUACAUGGGCUGCCCUCCUCUUAUCCACCUCUCAUCAAUGCUACACCAAUUGCAAUCUUUCUUUGCCAGCCACAUCAAGACUGAUAAAUUGUUAAUCUUUUGUAAACCAAUUGUUCACACCCAAGCAAGAAGCUUUUCUAUUGAUAACCAUGUGGAAAGUCUACUCUUCAAUAAUUUGUGUGUGAAUAUGUUCACUGCUUGAAGAAUGGACCUAACAGCCCACCUGCCGGGGAUGAAGUCUCUCUAAUUUAAUGUCAUUGUAAUAUUGCUUAUGAAUAAAGCCAUCUUUAACCAAA